UGCUUUUGGAAUUAUUUCUUCCUUAUAUAUAUAUAUAUAUAACUCACAUAUUUAUUUAUUUAUUUCUUAGCAUAUGGUGAUAAGUUUUUUCCAAUCAUCUUCAUAUCAUAGUAUAACGUGGCUACUCCAAGUCCACACUCUGUGAUAUUAUGUAACAUAAUAUAAUAUUCAAACUUGGCUACUACGCUAUAAAACAAGAAUUUGAUAGGUAUUGUCCAAGUGAUAGAUGCUUCUCAGAUGCAACGCACCUUAGAAUAUUGUAAUCGUUAAUGUUGACCCGCAAGCAUUGCCAAUUUGGCAUUUGGUAUGGUGCAAAGAGUAGGUUGAGUACAUUACCAGCUCCUUUUUGCCUAUAUAAAGCAUGAAAAUUAGAUUGAACAUUUAACUGAUAGCAAUUAUGGCAGUAGAUUCAGCUUCAGCUUCAGCUGUUGAGGGAGAUAAGUAUCGUUCUUACUUGCAUGGAGAAGGAGAGAAGAACACCAAAUGGAGAUUUGGGGGUCCUCCAAACUAUGAUAUUGUUAACAAACUCUUUGAAGAAGGCAGAACUAAUGUUUAUAUACUUUUGUUAAUUGCCUGUUUCUGUUAUUUCAUUGAUCAGAUAUCCUUUUUUGGAGUUCUGAGCUAGCAAUUGUUACGUGUUUGUGUAAGGUAUGGCCUCCUGGUUCAGUAGAAGAGAAAGUGCAGAACCUAGUGAAGACAUGGGAAAUGGAGGUUUUCAACAAGACCUGCUUUGAUGAUUAUAAGUCAAUCGAUCCAAAAAAGUAUACUUUCAGCCUAAAUGGUAGAAUCCCAAUAAUUCACAAGCUCUCUUUAUGUGUUUUUUGAAAGUCAUGCUUCUAAGCUAGUAUGUUAUAUGCCUGGUCUGCUGCAGGAAGGAAACCUUUAACUUUGGAAGAAACGUUCAAGCUUGAUGGAGGCUACAACGCCUUUAUGCAGACCUCCUUACCCGUGAAGUUCCGGGCCUAUGACCCUGAAAAGGAAACUGUGGAUUCAGCUCAUAUGGCUUUUACAACAGCAUUUCCUAGAGGGUUUGCUUUGGAAGUUCUCCAAGUUUAUUCAGGGCCACCAGUAAUUGUGUACAAGUUCAGGCACUGGGCUUACAUGGAAGGUCCUUUCAAGGGCUAUGCUCCUACUGGAGAAUUGGUAGAAUUCUAUGGGAUGUCUAUUUUUGAGGUGGAUGAACUCAUGAAAGUUGUGAAGGUAGAGUUCUUUUUCAAUGGUGGAGAACUGCUCGGAGGUCUUAUGAAGGGUGCUGCCUUGCAUGAUUCAACCAUAGAUGCAGCUUCAAGCUGCCCUUUCUUGAAGGGCACAGGGUAGCUUAGGAACUGCACUUGAGGCAACAUGAAUGAAUAAUGUUUGCUUCUGAUAGGCAUAUAAGCUUAUGUACUUUUUUAUAUGGAUAUGCAUAUUAGCUGCCCUUGCUUGUAAUAAAAUUUCUGUAUCUGCUUCAAUUGCUGUAGCAGUACCCGUCUGUGCUAAUGAAAUAUACAUUUAUGGACUAUUAAUAUCAGAAGCUUACUUGCAAGUUGAUAUGAAUGCUAUACUGGUGAGAAUCAGCUCAUCUAUGACAGUGCUGCUAGCUGCAAAUUGCAUACGACUUGGUCUCCUCUAAAU
rnacentral:misc_RNA from 1 species